AUUUGGGGCUUUUUCUUAUGUAGGCUUCUUCUAUUACCCCCCACCCUCUGCUCCAAUUUUUCACACUUGCUGUCUGGUCACCCUACCCCUCAGCUCCUGCAGCCCCCAGCCCCUGGCAAUUCGUGGACCCACUGAUGCUCCCCCAGCCCACACACCCCACUACUGUGUUGCUGUUUGCAUUGCAGAACCCCCUGCUCUGGACCCUGUGAUGCUCCUUCACCCAGACCCCUGCUGCUCCCCAUCCCCACCUCUGCCCUGGAGGGCCGGAAACUCUCUCAGUGCCCCCAGCAAGAUCAGCGUUGAUACACGCCCAGCCUAGAUCUGCCCAGGUCUAUGCUUGGCAGGCACCGUGGGCUGCUGCCCCACCCGCCCCCAUGGUAGCAUUGUUGUGUCUGGCCAAGGACAAGUUGCCAUGUGCUGGCCUGAUCCUGCUCCACUGGCAUUAUUUCCUGGACCUCAAUAGCUUGCUCAGCACCCCCUCGAAGAACAGGGGGGCAGGGCCCCUGCCAUGCAGGCGCUUCAGGCAGCCAGCAUGGUGUGGGGAGCAGGUGGCAGUGUCCCAUAUGAUCCAAUCACCUUUCCUUAUUGAGAGAUCAGGCUCUCUCUGAAGGUAGAGCCCAGCAGAGGGGUUUGGCCAUCCCCACCCCACCGAAAUCCUACUUAGCCUCAAAACCCCCCCCUGCGGGAAGCGAGGAAAAUCGUCUGUCCAGCUGGAUGGAGACCAAGGCACAGAGAGGAAACUCCACGUGGCUACGUGCAGCACAACCCGAAGCCCCCCCACCACCAGCCUGAUGCGAUCCCUGCCCCCGACUGUGGGCAUCCCAGACCCACAGAGGUCAGACCCAUGGUCCAGCGAGCCCAGCA